UAGCUUGUGGGAAAAUGAUUCUGUGCUCAGUGAGGAAGUGCUUUCAAGACCAUCUGGCGCCGAGUGGUGGAGUGGUGCUGUCGUAGAAGCUGCGAUGGUGUGUUAAUUCUCUCUCCCUCUUUCUACCCUGGUGAAACUGAGAUCCUUGAGGGUAGGACCUAUGUCUGCCUUAUGUAUCCUGAACCUACCCGAGAUGAGAGAGACGGAGGAACGCCACAUCACUCAAGAAAUGAGUUCAGCUGGUCUCCCAGAGCAGAAGUGGAAAAGGCUAUGUGGUGGGGCAGAAGGGAGAACUGAGACUGAGGCUCAGACAUUAAAUCGCUUUUCCAAGGCCUCAAAAUUAGCAGAAGAAAUAACAUUUAAACUCAGAUAUCUAAUCCCAUAUCUAUCCACUCAUUCACAAGGGCUAAAAGUUGAAGUGUGUACUGUGGAAGCACAGAGAAAGCAGUAAUUAAUUCCAGUUAAGGGGGGGAGGCUUCAUACAGGAGGCAGCCCGUGGGCUGAGCCUUGCGGUAUGAGGAGACUUUCCCCAGGGGGGAGCAGAGGAGGGCGCCCUGCAGGCGACGAGCAGCAAGGCUGGCACACAGAAGGCCUGCAGGGUCUCAGGGAGAAAGCGCAGCGUGGCCAUCUGUCACGGGGCUGGUGAUGUCCUGGCCCUUUUCUACGGAGAAAGUAAAAGUUUGCACUCACUCAUCAUGAUUUUAAUCAGCAAG
rnacentral:lncRNA from 1 species